CUAGAAACCGGCGGAGAUGGUGAAAGAAGCUGAAGAGACACACAGGAACAGCCCUGAUUUUGAAAGCAACAAGGAAGACAACUCACCAAUGUCUUUUAAGAAAGAGUUUCUCUUAAGACACAACACGGAGAAAGAAGUAGAAGGAUGCUCUUCACGUGACGUUCACCCCAGAGAGAGAUCUUUAUGGGCGGGUCUAAGCCGUCUUCCCUUCCGGCGCCUCCUGGGCCCUUUCCCUGCCGUCGAAGGACCCGAGGACUUGAGCUGCUGGCUCUCACAGAUGCAAGGCACACGGAACCAUCUGCUGUCAGGAUUGUUUAAAAACACACAGAGAUUGCACCGUCGCUGCACAGAUCCCCCGCGGCUGCUGCUCUCCAGUCAAGGGUCCUAACGGCGUCUGGAAUCUCCUCCGUGGCCGUCAGCCACCCCCACCCCGCUCCGUGCCCCCAGCAGCUUUUGCGCUGCUUCUUACGUGCCAGCCUGUCAGGUCUUCCGAAUCGCUUCGGUCUAGUUAUUUGGCUCCCAGGUUGCAUGUGACGGGAGCGCUUAUCAGCAAGAACAUUGCUGCAUGAAGUAUGUCGGUGAAACUCUACACCCAGAAGCCUUGGGGAGUGUCUAUCCUUGAUGCAAUAAAUAUUUUCAUGCCACGUCGGGAAAUUGGCA
rnacentral:lncRNA from 1 species